ensembl:lncRNA
CUCCACUUCUCAUUAUUGGUGUGACUUUAGACAAUGGUUCUCAAUCAGGGGUGAUUUUGACCCUCAGGGGACGUUUGGCCACAUCUGUAGACAUUUUUGGUCUUUGUAACUGUGAGGAUGCUAGUGGUAUCUAGUUGGCAGAGGCCAGAGAUGUUGCUAAACAUCCUACAAGGCACAGGACAGUCCCCACAACAAGACUUACUCUGUCCCAAGUGUCAGAGCUGAAGUUAAGACACUCUGUUUUAGACCAAUCACUCCUUUUCUUCAGGCCUUAAUAUCCUCAUUUUGAAAUGGGGACAUUUGGGUUAGCUCAGAGGUUUUGAGGGUAACACCAUCUUGAGGGUGUUUAAGAAUCUCCUGAGAAGCUUGUUAAAAAAGGCAAGUUUCUGGCCCCCUCUUCGGGCUUCCAUAGUCGUUCCCCAGAGCCACUCCUUGAAAAAGGUUGCACUGGAUAGUUUCUAAGAUCCUUCACAGCUGCCCUGUUUUCCAAUUCUAAAAAUGUAGAUAAGUAACAAAUGUGCUUAGGGUUCCUGCCUGAGCACAGGAUGCAUAUGGAAACAGAUGGUAAUCCUCCUUAAAAUCUCCUCACACGGACAUAUACCUCCGCACCCAUGGGCUGCACAGAGUGGUCAGGCGUGUAUGUGGUGAGACUUGAGGUUGACUCCUUUAACCCUUUCUCAGAAGCCUGUGAGCCCAUCAGUACCUGGGGUGGAUAAUUCUGUAGACUUGUGACAGCACCAGUUGUUCUGGAACAGCUGAUGUGACAGAAUAGCAGGAGACAACACACACUUUAAAUUCAGGCAUCAAGUCUCCGAGCAUCUUCUUUUUAGGUAAGGCUAUUCGUAGCACAAGGCCAUCACCUGGCAUUUUCAAGCUUGUAGGAAUUAGUUUACAGGGACCAUCAAAGAAGCUGUAGACAUGUCUGUCUGUUUAUUGUAGAGUUUGAACCAUAUGUUAUUUUGGGGGAAGGGCAAGGUUAGGGUGUGUUGCUGCUGUUGGCAAAAGCAUGACUCCAAGUAUACUCAUAGCCACCAAUUAUUGAGGAUCUUCCAUGUGUCAGAUGCUUGUGCUACAUCGUUUAGCUCUCCUGGAGCACCGCAAGGAAGAAAUUACUAUUUUCAUUUUUCAGAUGAGGAGACAAAGAUUCGGAGACAUUUAGUAACUUGCCCAAGAUCACACUGUAAGUAAAUGGCAGAGUCCGCUUGUCAACCCAGGACUGCUUGAUUCCAAAGCUCAUCCUCUGCCACCAAUGCUGACUUCCUCCUGUGAGGACUAGAGGGGACCCCAGAAGGCCAGAGACAAGAGAAGCAGGAGACCACCAGCCACAAACAUCUCCACAUGUGGCUUGUCCCCAAACAGCUACAUUUGUGUGUUCCUGGGCUUGAUUUUUGCUUGGAACUUAUGUGGUUAUAUUGGAGUAAGGUGCAAUGCCUAGUUAUUUCAUCAUUCCUUAAGUAUCUGAACUUCUCCCCGAGAUUAAUGUCUUCUAAGCUAGGAGGAUUUUUUUUUUUAAAACAUGUUUUAUGUAGAUGGAUUCAUUUUUCUAAGUUUUCAUAUGAGAACUACUGAACUAGAAUUGCUGGGAGUAGAGUUGAGGGUUGUUUUGGGAUUUUUGAUUUAUCAGCGUCACAGUUUUCACUGGUAGGAUCACUAUUCUUUCUCUUGGUUGAGGUAUUUUCUCCAGAAGGCUUCAGUCCAAAUGCAAACACGUUACCUGGAAGCAGUGACACAGUGAGUCAUUGCCUCUGCCAACCUGCUGACGUGCGUGGGGAUGUGAUUAUGUCUUGAGAGAAAGAAACUUACCAUAGCUUUGCCCUGGAGGCAGCCAGCUGCCAUGUUGUGAGCUGCCCUAUGGAGAGGCCCCCAUGGCAGAGAACUGAGGUCUCCAGACAACGUCCAGCAGACCUGAGGCUGCCAUAGUGACGUGAGUGAGCUUGGAAGCAGAUCCCUCCCCAGUUGAGCCUUAAGAUGACUACAGCCCUGGAGGGCACCUCGACUACAGCCUCAACUAUGAGAGUGACUCUGAACCAGGCCCAGAUUUCUUUUUUUUUUUUGAGGAAGGUUAGCUCUGAGCUAACAUCCACCGUCAAUCCUCCUCUUUUUGCUGAGGAAGACUGGUCCUGAGCUAACAUCUGUGCCCAUCUUCCUCUGCUUUGUAUGUGGGAUGCCUGCCACAGCAUGGCGUGCCAAGCGGUGCCAUGUCUGCACACGGGAUCCAAACCAGCAAACCCUGGGCCACCGAAGCAGAAUGUGCGAACUUAACCGCUGCGCCACCGGACUGGCCCCAGGCCCAGAUUUCUGACUCACAGAAACUGUAUUUUAAAUGUUUGAUGAUUUAAAAUGAUAAGUUUUGAGGUAGUUUGUUACAUAGCAGUAGAUGAGUAAUAGACGAUGUUGCAAAAAGAACCCUAGUCAGACAGGUAAUUUAAAGUGCAUAUAAUCUAAAUAAGAGACACAACAAAUAUAGCAAUAACUGUUUUGCACAACUGUAACAGUAAUAAUAACCAAUUCCUACACAGAGCUUACAAUGUGCCCCAAACUGAUAUAUAUACCUGUAUAUAUAUACACAUAUAUAAAUAUAUACACACAUAUGAAUAAAUACGUGUAUUCAAAUAUAUACAUAUAAAUGUAUAUAUAUUAACCCAUUCAUUCCUCACAACAACACUGUGACAUGACUAUCCCCAUUUUACAGAUGAAGAAAUGGAGUCACCAGAAAGAUUAAGUAAGUUGCUCAAGGUCACACAGCUAGUACAGGUAGGAAAUGGUAGACCGAAAGUUAGAACCCAAUUUCCAGAUGGCUUGCUCGUUACCACUGUGCUGUAGGGUACCCACAAAUGAGAUAAGGAAGUAUCAUGAAAUGAUAAGUUCUAAAGGCAGGAUUACAUGCACUUUGAGGGAUAAGGACAGGAUUUUAUGGGGAAGGUGGAUUGUGAGACAGGGAGGCUUAAGCACAUUGAGAUAGAAGCAGGAUAUAAGCAGAAUCCCCGUUGCAAUGGAUCGAAUGUUUCUGUUCUUCCAAAAUUCCUUUUCUAUUUUGCUAAUUGUAUAGUUACUGCUAAAAUUGCUGCUACGUUCCCUCUUUGGGGCAGCAUUUCUUUAUUUACUGGUGCCAGCAAUGGGGACACACUGCUCACUAUUCAGUUCAACUUAGCUGGCACGGACCCGAAAUCAGCCGCGGGCAGAGGACAGGCUGCAACUUCCCAUUUUCUUGCUGGGUGCGGGCUGCCUGCUAGAGAGGUUUCAAGGCUCCCAUUCCACAAUCUGGGAUCUAAAGAGUUCGACUCAGAUGCAGGGUCUCAUUUUCAGAGGUGUUACAUUUGCAUAAUUUUACAGCUGGGGAUAUCAGAGCUAAGGUAAAUCAAAUAAGUUUGUGCCUCUGCACAAAUAAAAGCUUGCUCCCUUUCCCCAGGCUCCCAUCAUCCUCUUAUAACCAUUCCUCGGGUUCUGGCUCUUUCUCAGACCUCCUUUCCAUAUUGCAUCUCAUGCUCAGAAAUAACUUCGGCUCUGCAGCCAUUGUGCUCCGCCCACCUCUGUGUGCCUUCCCCAGGAAUAUAAGCUGUGGCUGUGGUGCCGGAGAGGGCAGGAGCCUCGGUCGUAGGUGGCUGGGCUCCCAUCUUCUUUCUGUACCAUCAGAAGCCAAGUGACCGUUGUCUCCUGCCUGGCCAGGGGUGGCAGCCUCCUAACUGUCUCCUUACACUCGUUCCCACCUCCACUUUUCUUGUCCACACAGUGGACAGAAUAAUCACUGAAAACAAUUAAUUUAGUAUUUUUAUUUUAAACACAAUGCAUGGAGGCCAGCCCGGUGCCACAGUGGUUAAGUUUGCAUGUUCCACAUGCAAUGUAUGAAUCUAGUUAAAAAAAGAGAGACAAGUUCAAAAGUGGGUGCAAUGAAAGAUCUCUGUCCUAAGUCAGCCCUCUAGUUCCCAAGGACCUCUUCCAAUAGGCAACAACAUUCACCAGUUCAUUGUAGAUUUUUCAGAAAUAGUCUACAUAUAUACAUAUAUGUAUAAGAGAUAUGCAUACAUAUAUAUAUAUUUUUUUUUUUUUGAGGAAGAUUAGCCCUGAGCUAACAUCUGCUGCCAAUCCUCCUCUUUUUGCUGAGGAAGACUGACCCUGAGGUGAUAUCCAUGCCCAUCUUCCUCUACUUUAUAUGUGGGACGCCUACCACAGAAUGGCGUGCCAAGCAGUGUCAUGUCAGCACCCAGGAUCCGAACCUGCGAACCCCGGGCCACCAAGCAGAACGUGUGAACUUAAAUGCUGGUCCAAUAUACAUAUAUAUUUUUGAUGAAAUUUUUCUUCUAUAUAUGAAUGCUUUUAGUAUAUAAAUUCGAUCAUGACGUACAACAGAAACUCUCCAUCAACCUUAGGAAAGUAUACAAAAUUUUUAACAUGGCCUUCAAGCCAUGCAUGAUCUGGCCCUUCCCUGACUGUGCGACCUUGUCUCAAGCCAUUCUCCUCUUUAUCUUCUGUUUUUCACAUGAGACUUAUAUCAGAUGGUCAAACAUCUAAUCUACCCCCCUAAGGUUCUCUGCACAUGCUCUGUCUUUGAUUAGAACAGCUUUUUGUCUGGAAUGGAAAUUGUGGUUGCCUCUUCCACAUAGAUCCCAUCUACGCUUAGGAGCCAUAUGGUUUGGAUGAAACAGACCUACCCUAGGGUCCAAGAAUAUACGAAUCCCAUUCUUCUUACUAAAAUGGUUGGUUCAGGUAAGCAAGACCUAAGUAACUCAGGAGACAACCACCAGUUAGAAGGAUUGGUUUGGGGUAGCCUCGUUAGCAUAAAGAGGGAACACUCUCUUUCUCUCUGUGCAUGUGAAGAAAGAAACUCUAGUAAUUGUUGGUAGACAUUAUCAUGGUAGAAACCAAGAGACUGAAACCAGCACGUAAAUUUUGGCAGGAUGGUUAGAAUCUCAGAGAAACAAAGCCAGAGGCUUGAUCAAACUGUGCCUGAAGCUAUUACAAUAAAUACUUUUUAGUGUUUUAAGGAAAUUUACAUUGGGUUUUAUUUGAGUUGCAGACAACUUAAGGCAUCCUGAUAUACCCCUUCUUCCCCACAUGCAACUUCUUCUAUCUGGCUAAUUCUUACCCAGUCUCCAAACCUCUUAAAUGUUACUUCCUCAGAGAGGCUUUUUCUGACUUUCCCAGACUAGGCUGGGUUUUCCUUUCAUGUGUUUUCCUUGCAUUGAGGACUCUUCCUCCCACAUACUUGUCACAAUUGUAAUGAAAGAUGACUUUUUAAUGUCCCUCUCCCCCAGGGGACUAUAAAUUAAAUGAAGUCAGAGCUAUGUCUGUCUGGUUCACUGCUCUGUCCCCAGGUUCUGGCACACACCUCACACCAGUUAACUGCUCGAUAAACAUUUAUUGGAUGCAAAAGUGAAUGAAUGGUAG